UACGAAGGGAGCUAGCGUUGUUCGGAAUCACUGGGCGUAAAGCGCACGUAGGCGGGUUUGUCAGUCAGGGGUGAAAUCCCGGAGCUCAACUCCGGAACUGCCCUUGAUACAGCAAGCCUUGAGUCCGGAAGAGGUAGGUGGAAUUCCUGGUGUAGCGGUGAAAUGCGUAGAUAUCAGGAGGAAUACCUAUGGCGAAAGCAGGUAUCUGGGCCAUCACUAACGCUGAGCUGCGAAAGCUAGGGGAGCAAACAGG
rnacentral:rRNA from 1 species